GGGGAAUAUUGGACAAUGGGGGCAACCCUGAUCCAGCCAUGCCGCGUGAGUGAUGAAGGCCCUAGGGUUGUAAAGCUCUUUUGUGCGGGAAGAUAAUGACGGUACCGCAAGAAUAAGCCCCGGCUAACUUCGUGCCAGCAGCCGCGGUUUAAUACGAAGGGGGCUAGCGUUGCUCGGAAUCACUGGGCGUAAAGGGUGCGUAGGCGGGUUUCUAAGUCAGAGGUGAAAGCCUGGAGCUCAACUCCAGAACUGCCUUUGAUACUGGAAGUCUUGAGUUCGGGAGAGGUGAGUGGAACUGCGAGUGUAGAGGUGAAAUUCGUAGAUAUUCGCAAGAACACCAGUGGCGAAGGCGGCUCACUGGCCCGAUACUGACGCUGAGGCACGAAAGCGUGGGGAGCAAACA
rnacentral:rRNA from 1 species